GAUGAACGCUAGCUACAGGCUUAACACAUGCAAGUCGAGGGGAAACGACAUCGAAAGCUUGCUUUUGAUGGGCGUCGACCGGCGCACGGGGGAGUAACGCGUAUCCAACCUGCCCAUCACUUGGGGAUAACCUUGCGAAAGUAAGACUAAUACCCAAUGAUAUCUCUAGAAGACAUCUGAAAGAGAUUAAAGAUUUAUCGGUGAUGGAUGGGGAUGCGUCUGAUUAGCUUGUUGGCGGGGUAACGGCCCACCAAGGCAACGAUCAGUAGGGGUUCUGAGAGGAAGGUCCCCCACAUUGGAACUGGGACACGGUCCAAACUCCUACGGGAGGCAGCAGUGAGGAAUAUUGGUCAAUGGGCGAGAGCCUGAACCAGCCAAGUAGCGUGCAGGAAGACGGCCCUAUGGGUUGUAAACUGCUUUUAUAAGGGAAUAAAGUGAGAGUCGUGACUCUUUUUGUAUGUACCUUAUGAAUAAGAACCGGCUAAUUCCGUG
rnacentral:rRNA from 1 species